ACAGGCUGAAAGCAUGCAGCUAAAGACACAGGGUAAUGUUAGCUUACAGGCUGAUAGCAUGCAGCUAAAGACACAGGGUCACGUUAGCUUACAGGCUGAUAGCAUGCAGUAAAAGACCAGGGUCACGUUAGCUACAGGCUGAUAGUAUGCAGCUAAAGGACACAGGGUAAUGUUAGCUUACAGGCUGUGCGCAUGCAGCUAAAGAACCGGGGAACAUAGCUACCAGUGGUAGCAUGCAGCUAAAGACAAAGGGUAAUGUUAGUUUACCGGCUGAUAGCAUGCAGCUAAAGACACAGGGUCACGUUAGCUUACAGGCUGAGAGCUGCAGUAAAGACACAGGGUCACGUUAGCUACAGGCUGAUAGUAUGCAGGCUAAAGGACACAGGGUAAUGUUAGCUUACAGGCUGUGCGCAUGC